rnacentral:rRNA from 1 species
GCCCCUACGGGUGGCUGCAGUGAGGAAUAUUGGUCAAUGGGCGCAAGCCUGAACCAGCCAUCCCGCGUGCAGGAUGACAGCCCUAGAGGUUGUAAACUGCUUUUCUGCAGGAAGAAUAAGGACUACGUGUAGUCCGAUGACUGUACUGUAGGAAUAAGCAUCGGCUAACUCCGUGCCAGCAGCCGCGGUAAUACGGAGGAUGCAAGCGUUAUCCGGAUUUAUUAGGUUUAAAGGGUGCGUAGGCGGAAACUUAAGUCAGUGGUAAAAGGCAAUAGCUUAACUAUGGUAAGCCUUUGAUACUGGGUUUCUUGAGUUCGGUAGAGGUAGGCGGAAUGUGUUGUGUAGCGGUGAAAUGCAUAGAUAUAACACAGAACACCGAUUGCGAAGGCAGCUUACUAUGCCGUUACUGACGCUGAGGCACGAAAGCGUGGGGAUCAAACAGGAUUAGAUACCCUAGUAGUC